ensembl:lncRNA
CGGCUGUGUGUGACUGAAGGACUGCUUCAUGCUUCUGGUCUCUGGAUUAGAUGAGAAUGCUGGUCAUUGGAAUUGUGAUGAUGUUCACAGGAGCUUCCAUGGGUUUGCUGUCCAUGAACCCUGUUUGUAGAUUUACUCAGAGUGAUCCAUGUUAUGGAGCUGUGGGACGACCGCUGUACCUGCAGCUGCCAUCUGAGUAUGAAUUAGUCUUAAAAAUGAGCAACAGUGGAACUUCUUUUGUUCUCAUUUUCAAAUUUAAAAACCAAAUAACCUCAAAGCAUCAUUCAGAUUAUCCAAGAUGGGAGUUUGCUACUGAUAACAGAACCAUGAUAAUAAGCAAUGCAAAGAAAAGAGACUCAGGAAAAUACACACUAGAAACAUUUGAUUCAUUUGGGGGAUCAAAAGGCGCUUAUUUUCUUCAGCUGAUUAUUGAAGGUUUGUCCGUGAACCCUGUUUGUAGAUUUACUCAGAGUGAUCCAUGUUAUGGAGCUGUGGGACGACCGCUGUACCUGCAGCUGGAAUAUGAGGAUGAAUUCAUCUUAAAAAUGAGCAACAGCGGAACUUUUUCCAUUCUCAUUUUGAAAUAUAAAAACCAAAGAGCCACAAAGCAUCAUUCAGAUUAUCCAAGAUGGGAGUUUGUUACUGAUAACAGAACCAUGGUAAUAAGCAAUGCUGAGAAAAGAGACUCAGGAAAAUACAAAUUGGAAUCAUUUGAUUUAUUCGGGGGAUCAAAAGGCAUGUAUUUCCUCCAGCUGAUUAUUGAAGAUACUAUUGUACAGACCAACUAUGAAGCUGAGAAGCCCAAAGACACUUUUGGGGUGCUUGUGGUUGUGCAAGUUUUGGAGAUUAUUAUUCUGCUGACAUUGUUAGGAGGCUUUCACAUCUACACCAAAAUCCAAAGAAAACGGAUCAGCAGAACAGUAGAAACUACGGAACAGGAGGGGCAGGAGAGUCUGUACACCAAUACGGAUCAAGAAGACAGAGAACAUCAUCAUCGUCAGAGGAGAUAAACCUUCAGAAUCUGCACCUCACACAACCUGAACCACAAACUAAGAAGCAUAAAGACAUUUGAAGAACAUAGAUUUAGAUUCUCCAAUCUAACUUAAUGACUGGUAGAAAGUAUGGCCAUGAGUCCAUGAUUACUCAUUGCGUGCUAUUUUAGUGUAAACGUUAUGUAGACCAGUAGCUCUCUGUCUCAUGGUGUUGCUUUGCUUGUCUUUAUCCCUCUCUCAAGACAACCUUGCAGUAGUCCAAAGGACUCUGAGUACUUGCUGUGCAUUUCAGGCUGCAAACCCUCUCAGUAUUUACCCAUUAUUGGUCAUCUUUGAACAACAAGAAUAUUAGAGAUUUAUACAGGGAUGAUAAGAUUUGAUUUGAUUGCAUUUAGCCAUGUCAGCAUUAGUAAGGUCAGGUACUGAUGUUGGAUGAUUAGUUCUGGAUCAGAAACACCACUACAACUCAUCCAGAAGGUACUGGAAAGCUCUAUCACUCUAGAGAAAGCAGUUGCACUGCCCCAAAGCAAAGUGCUGGGAGAUUUUUAGGUAUUUCACCUUUUAUGGUGCAUAAUAUUAUCAAAAAAUACAGGGAAUCUGAAAACAUCUCUGUGCAUAAAAAGCAAGGCCAAAAACCACAGCUGCCUGUGACCUUCAGUCCCUCAGAUGGCACUAUGUUAAAAACUGGCGUAAUACUGUGAUAGAUAUAACCACAUGGGCUCAGGGAAUACUUUGAUGAAGUACAGUGUCAAUAAACACUGUUCGUGGCUACAUCCACAAAUGCAAGUUAAGACUGUACUAAGCACAAUGGAAGUCCAUUUUUUCUUGAGGAAGCAUUCUCCUCUUGAAACAAGAGUUUAAUAUUGUAAUUUUUAGCAUUAGUGUCACCCAGCAGAGUCCAGCUCAAAGCACCCCAGACCAAUUCUAUUUUUUAUCUUUCUGUCACUGCAACACCAGUGAUUCGAAUUUGUGUUCUUACAUAUGAGUCUUUAUCCUCUAAUCAGUGGUUAGCUAGAACUGAGCGCAGGUCACUCAUGUUAUCUUAGCCUAGCAGGCUACAGCUGAAAGCACUACAGAACAGGUUCGAUUUCAGCUUUCUGUCACUCCACCAUGAUUCGGUUGACUGUGCGCUCACUGUUGUACGCUUUUAUCGUCUGUAAUUCUGACAGCAGAGCCCCAGUUAGUUGAAUCGAACCUGAACAGGGGUGUUUGAAGCUCUUCAGCUAUGCUAAGCUAACUAGGAGAGAGAAGCCGGCUAGCAUUAGCUUAGCUAGAAGGCACCAGCUCCAGACACCAGAGAACAGGUCUAAUCUUUCCCUCAAAACAGGCUUUCUGUCUCUCAAACAUCAGCCGCUCGAGCCAUUUUCAUCUAAAUUAGUGCCAGUUCAUUGCCUCGACUCCUUAACUAUGGAGAUAUGCUGUUAUGUUACGUUUAUCUAAACUAUUUACCAAAAACUUGACUAAAUAAAUUGGUUUUCACCUAGAGUUAAAGACUGAGGCUGUGUCUGAGCACUGACUGGAAGUUUGUUCCAAAGCUGGGGGGCUUUGUAUGAGAAGGCUCUCCCCCUGAUGUAACUUUAUUAAUUUUGGAUACUAAUAGUAAGCCAACACCUUGUAUUCUGAGUAGGCGAGAUGGUUCAUAGUAGGAGAGAAGUUCACUCAGGUACUGAGGGGCGAGUCCAUUUAAAGCUUUAUAUGCCAGUAAAAUUGGAAUUAUAUUAUAUGGAAUUGGAAUAUAUGCCAGUAAAAGUGGAAUUUAACUGGCAACCAUUGUAGAGUCGAUAAAACUGGGCUGAUAUGGUCAAAAUUUCUGGUUCUUGUGAGACUCUGGCUGCAGUGUUCUGGACUAGCUGAAGUUUGUUAAGGCUUUUGCUGGAACAUCUAGACAGCAGGGCAUUACAGUAGUCUUGAGGGAAUAAAUGCGUGAACUAGCUUUUCUGCGUCCUGUAGAGAUAAUGCAUUUCUUAAUUUAGCAAUAUUUGGAAAGCUAUUCUAUUAAUAUUAGUUACAUGUAAAUUGAAUGACAGAUUAGGGUCGAUUGUGACACCAAGUUUUUAAUACAUGUGUAACAGUGUACAAUAGUUGUAUUAAUGUUAUGUUAUGAAAUUCCUGCUAAAUGGGUUUUGGCACCACCUGCUGGUUGGUCAGCGUAUUACAGUUUCUGUAUAUAUAGGUGAUUCGGUGCAGUCUCGGCAGUAGAAUGGUUGCAUGCUGCCGUGUU